CUCAACAAGCCCGAGAGUGAAAUGACCCCGGAGGAGCUACAGAAGCGGGAGGAAGAAUUUCACACUGGUUCACUCUCUGCUCCCACAGUCAGUCAAGGACAACACCCAAGUGCUUACUAAUUGCUGCAAUAACAAGAAACUGCUGGGCCGGGUGAAGGCCUUUGAUAGGCGCUGCAACAUGGUGCUGGAGAAUGUGAAGGAGAUGUGGACUGAGGUCCCUAAAAGUGGCAAGGGUAAGAAGACGUCCAAGCCAGUCAACAAAGACUGCUGCAUCUCCAAGAUGUUCCUGCGUGGGGACUCGGUCAUUGUGGUCCUGCGGAACCCACUUAUUGCUGGCAAAUAGGCCCUCUUCCCCACUGACAGCGUGC